GGGGCAUACCCCCGCCCCCAGCUCCGCACCAGGCAAACCUGGGCAUAUGGGCCUGCCCCUGCUGGUGAGGCGGCCACAACGGUGUGUGGGAAUGGGAUGCUCUGUGACCCAGGUGGUGUGGGCUGAGUCCCGGGAGCCAAAGGGCAGAGGCAGGAUCAGCCACGGGAUUCCAGCCUUGGUCUUCCGGGGUAAGCUCCACAAAGGCGGGAAAGUCUGUCCCUGUCUAGGACAGUGGCUGGCACACGAGGGCCAUCGGUAAACUCUUGGAUGAACCAGGCUCAGAGACACGCAGUGCUCAAGGUCACACAGCGAGUCAGUGAGGGAGGGGAUGUGAAACCAGGGCCAAGGCUGCAGCGGACAGCAAAUCCAAAGAAGUGUUCCACUGAAUUCUGGGCCCCUGGUCCUCUAACUGCAUUAGCUCCAGGAUGGAUGGGCGACAGCGAUGGAUGGAUGGACGGGCGGCUGGAUAGACAGAGUGGCAGGCGAGUGAAGGGGCUGAACGGUGGGCAGUCACAGAGUGGAUGGGCGGAUGGACAGACAGACGGGCCAAGGGGCAGAUCCCACAGUGGGGAAGAGCUCAGCCUGUCAGGUGACACAGCCUGGGUUCCAACCCCAGCACUGCCACUCCCCAGCCAUGUGUCCUUGGGGAAGUCAAUAACCUGGCUGUGCCCCAGUGUCCUCAUCUCAUCUGUAAAAGGGAAGUAAUGAUGGUCCCCUCUCACAGGGUUACUGUGAGGAGCUCAGAAUGGAGAAGGAGCUGUGUGUGCGUGUGCUGGCAUCCUGGCAGUGUCGAUAAUGGGUGGGCAGAGACAGAUGAAAGGGCAGCCUGCCUGGUGAGCCAGUGGAAGCCAUGGGAACUCCCAACCCCAGGCUCUGGGAGAAGGAGCAGACACACACCAAUGUGCGAAUGCAGCUGCAACACUCGCUGGAAGGAGAGGAAGAAGAGACAGAGUGCAGGGCGUGAGCCUGGAGGCUGGGAGGCCCAGAAGGAGGCUGGCACAAAGGAGAGGGGACAGGCCAUGCAGUCCAAGGUGAGGAAGCAGUAUGGGCUGGUGUCAGGGCUGGUGGUGUGUGUUUGUGUGUGUGUGUGUGUGUGUAAAAAGUCCCCUUCAUCCCUAGAUUCUGAGGAAAGGGAGGGGCCCAUGCCAGCAUCCCCUCAAAGUCUGGGAAACCUGGAUCCCAGCCUCAUAGCGUCAGAACGUCAGAACAUCAGAACAGCCAGACCUGGCAGGGGAGGGGCCAGGGAGAAGGAGCAGAGGCAGUAUUUUCCCAGGGUCCCCUGGGGAGCCUGGCAGUGUGGACUGGGGGUGGGGCCGAGGAGGACAGAUGGGGCUGUGGGAGGGAGCAGCUGCCACUCUCCUCUCCAGGGAUGCCCGCUCCCCAACUCCAGCCCGCAUACCAGUGGGAGAGAUCGUGAGACCCUCCCCCUAUCCUUGCUCCCACCAGUCCUCAGUUUCCCUAGUGACACUGGAGAGACGAUCUGUGAGGACCCCCCCUGA
rnacentral:lncRNA from 1 species